AAAUCCCUGCCUGGGUUACCCCAGCUGGGGACUCAGACUCUCUUUGGGCCCUACAGGAAGGGCUGGCUAGCCCCCAGGCCAGAAGGGCCUGCCGUGACCCACAGAUGGCCCCAACACACUGUAAAACACGCAUGAUUUAUUUUAGUGUGUGUUAGAAAAAUAAAGCCAACACAUCAAGCCUGCAAUUUCGCAGAUACUAACACUUCGGACGAGGAAAAAAGAAGGCCAUGACAUGGCAGAGCGCUGUGGAGCGAGUGAGGGUUCAUCAGCUCAACAAGCAUUUGUGCGUUCCUGAGACCUGGAGGCUCCACUCCCCCACCUAAGUACACAAUAGCCC
rnacentral:lncRNA from 1 species